ensembl:snRNA U5 U5 spliceosomal RNA
CAGCUCGGGUUUCUCUUCAUUCACGCACAAAUCUUUUGCCUUUUCCUAAAGAUUUCCAUGGAGGGGAACGUUGACGAGUUCUUAUUUUUGAAGGUUUUGCUGGCAGAGCU